CCGUGCUAGAUGGGGAGCUGGCGGUGCCCUAUAACCUGCAACCCGCCUUAGCAGGAUCAAAUUCCUUUUUAGCGGUAUGGUUUAUGUAAGGUUCGCCUUAUGAGAGCAGUGUUGACCAUCGGGGUCCGCGGGAACAGAAUUCUAUGAACGGGUCAGGCCUGGAAGGGAGCAGCCAUAAAUAGAACAUUCUGUGUGCCGCAGGGUAGCCCUGAUCGAGCUAGCUGCAUAAGUAGCACUUAUGUGACCAUAACAAUAAAAGGUGCACGG
rnacentral:SRP_RNA from 1 species